CAACUCACAUCUCUCACCAAAAGAUCCUAAGAACUUUAACUCCUUCUCCUUGAAAUCUACAAGGGAUUUUUUUCAGAACCUCAAAAUAUUUCUUAGCUCCUAACAACUUUGCUAGCCCCUUUUUCUUUUCUUUUUUUUCUUUUUCUUUUCUCUUUUUUUUCGUUUUUUUUUUUUUCUUUUUCCUCUUUUUUUUUUUUAUUUUUUUUUUUUUUAGGCUGGGGGCCAAGACUUUCAAAACUUGAGCUAGAGGCUUCUCUACUUAUCCCAAUAAAACAAUUCACUUAAGCACAAAGAGUCUAUUCUUUUCCUUUUUCAUUUCUCCCAAAUCAUAAUCACAACACUCACCCCCACCUAUAGCUAGACAAUAGAGUGUCCAAUCUAGCAAGAAUG
rnacentral:lncRNA from 1 species